CGUGCACACAAUGUAGGAUGCCUCUUUUCCUUUGGGAAAAAGGGGGUACCUAUGUCUUUUGCAA
rnacentral:rRNA from 1 species